GUGGGGAAUAUUGGACAAUGGGGGGAACCCUGAUCCAGCCAUGCCGCGUGUGUGAAGAAGGCCUUUUGGUUGUAAAGCACUUUAAGCGAGGAGGAGGCUACCGAGAUUAAUACUCUUGGAUAGUGGACGUUACUCGCAGAAUAAGCACCGGCUAACUCUGUGCCAGCAGCCGCGGUAAUACAGAGGGUGCGAGCGUUAAUCGGAUUUACUUGGCGUAAAGCGUGCGUAGGCGGCUUUUUAAGUCGGAUGUGAAAUCCCCGAGCUUAACUUGGGAAGUGCAUUCGAUACUGGGAAGCUAGAGUAUGGGAGAGGAUGGUAGAAUUCCAGGUGUAGCGGUGAAAUGCGUAGAGAUCUGGAGGAAUACCGAUGGCGAAGGCAGCCAUCUGGCCUAAUACUGACGCUGAGGUACGAAAGCAUGGGGAGCAAACAGGAUUAGAAACCCCGGUAGUCC
rnacentral:rRNA from 1 species